GUCGUCGCCAGAGAUGAGACACUGAUGUGUUAAAAAUCGAUAUGAGUUGCCACAUUGAUGGGUUUAUUGCUGUAGUGGCGCAUACUGAUCAUGUUCUACAGGAAAGCCCAGUUACUGAAAGGGCAGCUAAUGUUAUUGCCGCAGCUAAUACUGCUGCAGAGGUUAACCUCAAGAAAUCAGGGGACCACCCACUUUAAAUACUGCUGCAAACGGGUAGUGAAGUGCGGCAGAAAAUACGAGUCAUCAUGUUAACCAUGGACUAUAUAUUUGAUAUUUGUUGGGAUAGAGUAUAGUGCAUAUCAAGAUGCUACCUAGAUGGUCCACCUACACAAGAAUUGGAACUAUCAGGUUAUGAAAUAUAUAAAUUGGUAUACUUGAAUAUUAUUAUUACUUAUAAGAAAAAAAAUCAUUUUUCCUAUGAGUUGCGUCAUGCUCAUGUGAACUGCACUUGAACAAAGUGAUUGGGUAGUAAAAGGGACUUUGUGUCUAUGAUUAAAGUUGUUCGACCUG